GAACGCUGGCGGCGCAGGCCUAUCACAUGCAAGUCGAACGGUAACAGGAAGCAGCUUGCUGCUUUGCUGACGAGUGGCGGACGGGUGAGUAAUGUCUGGGAAACUGCCUGAUGGAGGGGGAUAACUACUGGAAACGGUAGCUAAUACCGCAUAACGUCGCAAGACCAAAGAGGGGGACCUUCGGGCCUCUUGCCAUCAGAUGUGCCCAGAUGGGAUUAGCUUGUUGGUGGGGUAACGGCUCACCAAGGCGACGAUCCCUAGCUGGUCUGAGAGGAUGACCAGCCACACUGGAACUGAGACACGGUCCAGACUCCUACGGGAGGCAGCAGUGGGGAAUAUUGCACAAUGGGCGCAAGCCUGAUGCAGCCAUGCCGCGUGUAUGAAGAAGGCCUUCGGGUUGUAAAGUACUUUCAGCGGGGAGGGAGGUGUUGUGGUUAAUAACCGCAGCAAUUGACGUUACCCGCAGAAGAAGCACCGGCUAACUCCGUGCCAGCAGACGCGGUAAUACGGAGGGUGCAAGCGUUAAUCGGAAUUACUGGGCGUAAAGCGCCACGCAGGCGGUCUCGUUAAGUCAGAUGUGAAAUCCCCGGGCUCACCUGGGAACUGCAUCUGAUACUGGCAGGCUUGAGUCUCG
rnacentral:rRNA from 1 species